CUGGCCACCCAUGCUUCUAGGGGCUGCAGGGACCUGGUGGCUGCUUCCCAGGAGAUGUGAUUCCUGAUUUUCCGGCUCGCUUUUCCUUGCAGGAUCUGUGCCCCACAGCUCCAACACUAUGGCUGAGAGGAGCCCGGGAGGAGAGCUGAUGCUGUGCAGUGCAGGCUGGCAUUGCAGGGUUCCUCUCCUUUUGGAAAUGUUUCAGAAGGAAGAAUCCAGUCUCCAGUCCCAGGACUGAGCCCUAGGGAAACACGUAGACAUCAACAGAGUGUCCACACUAGCCUUUACCAACAUGUUACCUGCCUCAGCUUAACUGGCAAACGCCUAACCAGAGGUAGAAAAGGCCAGUGUAGACAAACCUUGGGAACUUGGGGGCCCUGCUCUGUUCUAUUCAGUACAGACACUCCAUCUCUCUGAGCACCAGCCAAGAGUGCAUUGCAUCCCAUGACUGGCAUCUGCCAUGUGUGGUUCUCUUAAAGGAGAAGUUGGGGGCAGAGGUUAAUAUAUUUUGUGUACUCUGUGCCAUGUCGCCAAUCCCAAGUGAUCAAACAUCAAGAAUCAGGCCCCAAAAACUCAUGAGCCUGUC